GUGGGCGUAGCUCAGUUGGUAGAGCCCCGGGUUGUGAUCCCGGUCGUCGUGGGUUCGAGUCCCAUCGUCCACC
rnacentral:tRNA from 1 species